rnacentral:rRNA from 1 species
UGAAAUUUCAUCGUGAUGGGGAUAGAUUAUUGCAAUUAUUAAUCUUCAACGAGGAAUUCCUAGUAAGCGCGAGUCAUCAGCUCGCGUUGAUUACGUCCCUGCCCUUUGUACACACCGCCCGUCGCUCCUACCGAUUGAAUGAUCCGGUGAAGUUUUCGGAUUGCGGCGACGCUGGCGGUUCGCCGCUGGUGACGCCGUGAGAAGUUCAUUAAACCUUAUCAUUUAGAGGAAGGAGAAGUCGUAACAAGGUUUCCGUAGGUGAACCUGCGGAAGGAUCA